ACCUGAGCCGAAGUCCCAUGCUUACCCGACUGAGCCACCUGGGUGCCCUCAAUUUUAAAGAAAUUUUAAAAGCAGGGACCCAUCUGGAAAUUCUCUAGGUGGAAAGGUGUGUGGAAGGGGCAAGGGGCAAUGGGGAAGAUGGAGAAAUGGAAACUUUCAGCAUCUUAGGCUAUGAGAAGCCUAAUCAAAAUUCAAAUGAGCAGGCAAGUAUAAAGACUCCAGGAAAACAUCAAAUUUCCCUGCUAACUGAAAAGAACGGCAACAAGACAACGGAGAACUGGAGGGGCAGGGCAGGUAAAUGAAAUAGAAGGGAAAGGGGCCAAGUCUCAUUGGCGCGAAGUCUCGGGAAAAGAGAGAAGAUACUUUGACUUACAAUAUUUUAGAGAAGGACCCUUAAGUAGGUGCGGUGCUAGUGGGGAUCAUUUUGCUGGCCCUGGGAGGGUUCCCUUUUCCUCUGACAAGGUAAGGCGGUGGUGGUGAUGUCUUCAUGACCUUUCUGCUAACGUCGCUGCAGGACCUUCCGGGGAAAUUGGUGCGGCGUUCCAGGCAAUCAGUGCCGACGGAGUGUUGCGCUGAGUGCCUGCGGUGGUCACGGCAGGAGUGGGCACAUGGUGGCAGAGAAGUCCGGGUGUCGGCACUCCAGAUAAGGUUACAGGAAAACUCAGACAUCCAUCUCAUUUCCCUCCCCUCCCUCCAAUUCCCUUCCUGGCGCCCAGCAUAGAGACUGUUGGCCGCUGCCCCUUUAAGGGCCUCCACUCCUCCCCACCCCAAGCAGUGGCACCGGGGCGGGUAGUGGGGGGGGGGGGGGGUUGAGCGUUCUCGCCCCGGUCAACUAGGGAAAAUGGCCCAGGCCCGGGAAAUCGCUCCCACGCCCCGCUGUCCCCGCCCCCGAGCCGGGUGAGCUGGGAGACCCCUUCUCUCUUUCCCUCCCGCCCCACGCGCGCCGCGGGAAUGGCUCCGUGGCCUCACGGGAACGGCUCUCUGGCUUCGUGGCCGGAUGCCCCCACCCUGACGCCCAAUACUGCCAACACGAGUGGGCUGCCGGGGGUGCCGUGGGCGGUGGCAUUGGCGGGGGCGCUGUUGGCGCUGGCCGUGCUGGCCACCGUGGGAGGCAACCUGCUGGUCAUCGUGGCCAUCGCUCGGACGCCGAGACUCCAGACCAUGACCAACGUGUUCGUGACCUCGCUGGCCACAGCAGACCUGGUGGUGGGACUUCUGGUAGUGCCGCCAGGGGCCACCCUGGCACUGACCGGCCACUGGCCCCUGGGCGCCACUGGUUGCGAGCUAUGGACCUCAGUGGACGUGCUGUGUGUGACGGCCAGCAUUGAAACCCUGUGCGCCCUGGCCGUGGACCGCUACCUGGCAGUGACGAACCCGCUGCGCUACGGCGCCCUGGUCACCAAACGGCGCGCCCGGGCAGCCGUGGUACUGGUGUGGGUCGUGUCAGCGGCGGUGUCGUUUGCGCCCAUCAUGAGCAAAUGGUGGCGCGUGGGAGCCGACGCCGAGGCGCAGCGCUGCCACUCCAAUCCGCACUGCUGCGCCUUCGCCUCCAACAUACCCUACGCGCUGCUCUCCUCCUCCGUCUCCUUCUACCUUCCGCUCCUUGUGAUGCUCUUCGUCUACGCGCGCGUUUUCGUCGUGGCUACGCGCCAGCUGCGCCUGCUGCGCGGAGAGCUGGGCCGCUUCCCGCCAGGGGAGUCUCCGUCGGCCGUGUCUCGCUCUCUGUCCCCCGCCCCGGCGGGGCCGUGCGCUUCUCCCGCAGGGGUGCCCUCCUACGGUCGGCGGCCCGCGCGCCUUCUGCCUCUCCGGGAACACCGGGCCCUGCGCACCUUGGGUCUCAUCAUGGGGACCUUCUCUCUCUGCUGGUUGCCCUUCUUUGUGGCCAACGUGGUGCGCGCCCUCGGGGGCCCCUCUCUGGUUCCCAGCCCGGCUUUCCUGGCCCUUAACUGGCUAGGCUAUGCCAACUCCGCCUUUAACCCGCUCAUCUACUGCCGCAGCCCCGACUUUCGCAGCGCCUUUCGCCGCCUGCUGUGCCGCUGCCGGCGGGAGGAGCGCCACGCAGCAGCCUCCGGGGCUGGAGAAACCUCGGAUGCCCCUGCGGCGCUGACCAGGCCCGCAGAGUCGGGGCUUCCUGGGGGAAUUUCUUAGGUCCUGAACGACAAGAAACAACUCUGUUCAUCCAGAACUUUUGGAAAGCCUCUGGCCUCUGUUUAGAAUGAGCCCUGUGGAGUUUCCCAGCUGGAAAUCUCUGACCUCCAGAAACUGAACUUUUCUAAGCCCUGAGCUUCACCACUACCUCAGCAGCUGAAGUAUCCAGCAGCCUGGAGCAGCCGGACUAGCUUUGGUGGGACACCUGUCACCUUGCUCACUUCUGUGCUGUGUGGUUAGGGCAGAGACAGCACUCCUCCUUCCAUCCCUCCUGCUGCCUAGACCUGACGGACCACUCAGUGCUCCCCAAGAUUGCUCGCUGCUUGCUCUGUGGCCUAGGCUGGGAGCAGGAAGCUAGCAAAGGUGCAGCUUUGGGGUUUUGUCCCUGACACAUCGCUACGGAUCUCUAAGCACCGGCCUCCCCCACUUUGGACACAGGACAGCUCUGAUCUACCUCACAGCAGUGCCAGAAGGACUUCUUCAGGGUUUUUUUUUUUUUGGAGGGGGGUGGGGGGGGGUGGCUCCGGGAUUCGUAGGAGGCCGAACCAUUAGAACAGAUCCCUUCUUUUCCUUUUAGCAUCAAAUGAAUAAAUAUUAGUGAAUGCGAU